GACGAACGCUGGCGGCGUGCUUAACACAUGCAAGUCGAACGGAAAGGCCCUGCUUUUGUGGGGUGCUCGAGUGGCGAACGGGUGAGUAACACGUGAGUAACCUGCCCUUGACUGUGGGAUAACUUCAGGAAACUGGGGCUAAUACCGGAUAGGAGCUCCUGCUGCAUGGUGGUGGUUGGAAAGUUUCGGCGGUUGGGGAUGGACUCGCGGGUUAUCAGCUGGUUGGUGGGGUAGUGGCUUACCAAGGCUUUGACGGGUAGCCGGCCUGAGAGGGUGACCGGCCACAUUGGGCCUGAGAUACGGACCAGAAUCGUAUGGGCGGCAGCAGUGGGGAAUAUUGCACAAUGGGCGGACGCCUGAUGCAGAAACGCCGCGUGCGGGAUGCCCGCCUUCGGGUUGUAAACAGAUUUCGACUGUGACGAAGCGUGAGUGACGGUAAUGGGUAAAGAAGCAACGGCUAACUACGUG
rnacentral:rRNA from 1 species